AACCAGUAGCCGUAUCGGAAGGUGCGGCUGGAUCACCUCCUUUCUCGAGCUUGAAGCAUAAGUUGCUAAAGCGCUCACGCUUAUCGGCUGUCAUACGACAGGCUGUAGGGUCUGUAGCUCAGUCGGUUAGAGCACCGUCUUGAUAAGGCGGGGGUCGUUGGUUCGAAUCCAACCAGACCCACCAUCUUGGUCUGGUUGGUUGCGCUAACUGGUGUGGUUGGGUGACGAACUAAGGGAUGUACCUACAGUAGUAGUGGUGUCUUGGGGGUUUAGCUCAGCUGGGAGAGCACCUGCUUUGCAAGCAGGGGGUCGUCGGUUCGAUCCCGUCAACCUCCACCAAUUCCUAAGCUAAAGGGUAUUUGUUGCGUAUCCGCGAGGAUGUGCGCUGAGUGCGUUUUAGCUUAGGCUUGGCCUAACACUGAUGGAUUCGAUGAGAAUCUAAAUCGGCUGUCGUUCUUUAACAAUUUGGAAGAAGUUCAAUUCAAUGGUGGCGUGCUGUGCGUUAGAGAUGGCGUGCGGGAUGCUGCCGAAAUUUGGGUUGAGAUUGUAUCGAGAAGUAUCUCAAAGCAGUGUGUCUUGAGAGAGGCGCACGAAAUUGGAAUACGGCACAACACCGAUACUCACCUAUGGCGUGACGUGUGCAGCGAUGCAGACGUACUCGUUAUAGGGUCAAGCGAAUAAGUGCAUGUGGUGGUCCCCUUUGGCAC
rnacentral:misc_RNA from 1 species